GAGUUUGAUCGUGGCUCAGAUUGAACGCUGGCGGCAUGCCUUACACAUGCAAGUCGAACGGCAGCAUGAUCUAGCUUGCUAGAUUGAUGGCGAGUGGCGAACGGGUGAGUAAUACAUCGGAACGUGCCCUGUAGUGGGGGAUAACUAGUCGAAAGAUUAGCUAAUACCGCAUACGACCUGAGGGUGAAAGUGGGGGACCGCAAGGCCUCAUGCUAUAGGAGCGGCCGAUGUCUGAUUAGCUAGUUGGUGGGGUAAAGGCCCGACCAAGGCGACGAUCAGUAGCUGGGCUGAGAGGACGAUCAGCCACACUGGGACUGAGACACGGCCCAGACUCCUACGGGAGGCAGCAGUGGGGAAUUUUGGACAAUGGGCGAAAGCCUGAUCCAGCAAUGCCGCGUGUGUGAAGAAGGCC
rnacentral:rRNA from 1 species